ACCGAAAUAGCUCAGUUGGGAGAGCGUUAGAUUACAGAUCGAGGGUCCCUGAUUCGAUCCCAGGAUCCGGGA
rnacentral:tRNA from 1 species